GGGUGCUUAGCUCAGCUGGGAGAGCAUCUGCCUUACAAGCAGAGGGUCGGCGGUUCGAUCCCGUCAUCACCCACCA
rnacentral:tRNA from 1 species